AUUUAAAUAAUUUAAAUAAAAUAUUAACUUGUGGUGUUAAAAAUAAUUAUUUUUAAAAA
rnacentral:tRNA from 1 species